GAGUUUGAUCAUGGCUCAGAUUGAACGCUGGCGGCAGGCCUAACACAUGCAAGUCGAGCGGAUGACGGGAGCUUGCUCCUUGAUUCAGCGGCGGACGGGUGAGUAAUGCCUGGGAAUCUGCCUGGUAGUGGGGGACAACGUUUCGAAAGGAACGCUAAUACCGCAUACGUCCUACGGGAGAAAGCAGGGGACCUUCGGGCCUUGCGCUAUCAGAUGAGCCUAGGUCGGAUUAGCUAGUUGGUGGGGUAAUGGCUCACCAAGGCGACGAUCCGUAACUGGUCUGAGAGGAUGAUCAGUCACACUGGAACUGAGACACGGUCCAGACUCCUACGGGAGGCAGCAGUGGGGAAUAUUGGACAAUGGGCGAAAGCCUGAUCCAGCCAUGCCGCGUGUGUGAAGAAGGUCUUCGGAUUGUAAAGCACUUUAAGUUGGGAGGAAGGGCAGUAAGUUAAUACCUUGCUGUUUUGACGUUACCAACAGAAUAAGCACCGGCUAACUCUGUGCCAGCA
rnacentral:rRNA from 1 species